rnacentral:rRNA from 1 species
ACGUACACUCCUGCGGGAGGCAGCAGUGGGGAAUAUUGGACAAUGGGCGCAAGCCUGAUCCAGCCAUGCCGCGUGAGUGAUGAAGGCCCUAGGGUUGUAAAGCUCUUUCACCGGUGAAGAUAAUGACGGUAACCGGAGAAGAAGCCCCGGCUAACUUCGUGCCAGCAGCCGCGGUAAUACGAAGGGGGCUAGCGUUGUUCGGAUUUACUGGGCGUAAAGCGCACGUAGGCGGACUAUUAAGUCAGGGGUGAAAUCCCGGGGCUCAACCCCGGAACUGCCUUUGAUACUGGUAGUCUUGAGUUCGAGAGAGGUGAGUGGAAUUCCGAGUGGAGAGGUGAAAUUCGUAGAUAUUCGGAGGAACACCAGUGGCGAAGGCGGCUCACUGGCUCGAUACUGACGCUGAGGUGCGAAAGCGUGGGGAGCAAACAGGAUUAGAUACCCUAGUAGUCCC